CAGCCGCCGCGGUAAUACGUAGGUGGCAAGCGUUGUCCGGAAUUAUUGGGCGUAAAGCGCGCGCAGGCGGUUUCUUAAGUCUGAUGUGAAAGCCCCCGGCUUAACCGGGGAGGGUCAUUGGAAACUGGGAGACUUGAGUGCAGGAGAGGGAAGCGGAAUUCCAUGUGUAGCGGUGAAAUGCGUAGAGAUAUGGAGGAACACCAGUGGCGAAGGCGGCUUCCUGGCCUGUAACUGACGCUGAGGCGCGAAAGCGUGGGGAGCAAACAGGAUUAGAUACCCUGGUAGUCCACGCCGUAAACGAUGAGUGCUAAGUGUUAGAGGGGUUAAACCCUUUAGUGCUGUAGCUAACGCGUUAAGCACUCCGCCUGGGGAGUACGGCCGCAAGGCUGAAACUUAAAGGAAUUGGCGGG
rnacentral:rRNA from 1 species